AUGAGUUGGCAAGGAAGAUCAACAUAUAAGCCUAGACCAAGAGGAAGUUUACAGUUUCCUGGACUGAUUGGGCUUAUGCCCAGUGAUGAAGAACCUCAAGAAGAGAAACCACCCACUGAAAGUCAAGAUCCUACACAUGGUCAGGAGAGAGAAGAAGAUCAGGGUGCUGCUGAGAUUAAAGUGCCUGACCUGGAAGCUGAUCUCAAGGAGCUGUCUCAGUCAAAGACGGGGGAUGAAUGGGGAGAUAGUCCGAUGUCCAGGGGAAGAUUCUGCCAAAAUCAGAUCAAUUUAAAAUGCCAGAAGGCG
rnacentral:lncRNA from 1 species